GAUGAACGCUGGCGGCGUGCCUAAUACAUGCAAGUCGAGCGAACAGACGAGGAGCUUGCUCCUCUGACGUUAGCGGCGGAGGGGUGAGUAACACGUGGAUAACCUACCUAUAAGACUGGGAUAACUUCGGGAAACCGGAGCUAAUACCGGAUAAUAUAUUGAACCGCAUGGUUGAAUAGAGAAAGACGGUUUUGCUGUCACUUCUAGCUGGAUCCGCGCCGCAUUGGGUAGUUGGUAAGGUAACGGCUUACCAAGGCAACGAUGCGUAGCCGACUUGAGAGGGUGAUCGGCCACACGGGAACUGAGACACCGUCCAGACUCCUACGGGAGGCAGCAGUAGGGUAUCUGCCGCAAUGGGCGCAAGCCUGACAGAGCAACGCCGCGUGAGUGAUGGAGGUCUUCGGAUCGUAAAACUCUGUUAUUAGGGAAGAACCAAUGUGUAAGUAACUAUGCCCGUCUUGACGGUACCUAAUCAGAAAGCCACGGCUAACUACGUG
rnacentral:rRNA from 1 species